AUUGAACGCUGGCGGCAGGCCUAACACAUGUAAGUCGAGCGGAUGAAGGGAGCUUGCUCCUGGAUUCAGCGGCGGACGGGUGAGUAAUGCCUAGGAAUCUGCCUGGCAGUGGGGGAUAACGUCCGGAAACGGGCGCUAAUACCGCAUACGUCCUGAGGGAGAAAGUGGGGGAUCUUUGGACCUCACGCUAUCAGAUGAGCCUAGGUCGGAUUAGCUAGCUGGUGGGGUAAAGGCCUACCAAGGCGACGAUCCGUAACUGGUCUGAGAGGAUGAUCAGUCACACUGGAACUGAGACACGGUCCAGACUCCUACGGGAGGCAGCAGUGGGGAAUAUUGGGCAAUGGGCGAAAGCCUGAUCCAGCCAUGCCGCGUGUGUGAAGAAGGUCUUCGGAUUGUAAAGCACUUUAAGUUGGGAGGAAGGGCAGUAAGUUAAUACCUUGCUGUUUUGACGUUACCAACAGAAUAAGCACCGGCUAACUUCGUG
rnacentral:rRNA from 1 species